GCACGGGUGAGUAACACGUAUCCAACCUGCCUCAUACUCGGGGAUAGCCUUUCGAAAGAAAGAUUAAUAUCCGAUAGCAUAUAUUUCCCGCAUGGGUUUUAUAUUAAAGAAAUUCGGUAUGAGAUGGGGAUGCGUUCCAUUAGUUUGUUGGGGGGUAACGGCCCACCAAGACUACGAUGGAUAGGGGUUCUGAGAGGAAGGUCCCCCACAUUGGAACUGAGACACGGUCCAA
rnacentral:rRNA from 1 species